GCAUGACUUGCAUUCUUGGAAAAAGCCAUGCUAUUACUGGAUUGCUCUGGCCAUGCUAGAGGCUGUUUCUUUGGGGAGCUGCCUCAUACUACAGAAAAGCUGAAGAUCCCAGAUGCUGCUGUCUGCCCAUACUGGUGUUGUGAGUUGCAUAACAAAAUAAGUGGACAGGUUUCCCUAGGUCUUGCUUUGAAAUGGCUUCACUCCGACUGAACUGCAGCAAUCCCACCCACCUGCCCCAGGUGACAGGCUGUGGGUCAUGCAAAGUGCCAGAACCCUGCGGCUUGUCCUCUGGGGAGGAAACCUUUCUCUGUCAGAUUUGCUUGCUGAACAUUCCUUCAGAAACCUUCCUCUUCCAGCAGUGCUCGCACAUGAGCAGUCUCAAGCCAUCACUAAUUUUAUGAGCAGAGUGCUGCCUUUAAAGAGUGAAGAUAAAUGUCCAC
rnacentral:lncRNA from 1 species